UAGCUAGUUGGUGAGGUAACGGCUUACCAAGGCGACGAUCUGUAGCGGGUCUGAGAGGAUGAUCCGCCACACUGGAACUGGGACACGGUCCAGACUCCUACGGGAGGCAGCAGUGGGGAAUUUUGGACAAUGGGGGCAACCCUGAUCCAGCCAUGCCGCGUGAGUGAAGAAGGCCUUCGGGUUGUAAAGCUCUUUCGGCCGGGAAGAAAUCGCAUGGGCCAAUACCCUGUGUGGAUGACGGUACCGGAAUAAGAAGCACCGGCUAACUACGUGCCAGCAGCCGCGGUAAUACGUAGGGUGCGAGCGUUAAUCGGAAUUACUGGGCGUAAAGCGUGCGCAGGCGGUUUUGUAAGACAGGCGUGAAAUCCCCGGGCUCAACCUGGGAACUGCGUUUGUGACUGCAAGGCUAGAGUACGGCAGAGGGGGGUGGAAUUCCACGUGUAGCAGUGAAAUGCGUAGAGAUGUGGAGGAACACCAAUGGCGAAGGCAGCCCCCUGGGUCGAUACUGACGCUCAUGCACGAAAGCGUGGGUAGCAAACAGGAUUAGAUACCCUGGUAGUCCACGCCCUAAACUAUGUCAACUAGGUGUUGGGUGGGUAAAACCAUUUAGUACCGUAGCUAACGCGUGAAGUUGACCGCCUGGGGAGUACGGCCGCAAGGUUAAAACUCAAAGGAAUUGACGGGGACCCGCACAAGCGGUGGAUGAUGUGGAUUAAUUCGAUGCAACGCGAAAAACCUUACCUACCCUUGACAUGCCAGGAACUUGCCAGAGAUGGCUUGGUGCCCGAAAGGGAGCCUGGACACAGGUGCUGCAUGGCUGUCGUCAGCUCGUGUCGUGAGAUGUUGGGUUAAGUCCCGCAACGAGCGCAACCCUUGUCGUUAAUUGCCAUCAUUUAGUUGGGCACUUUAGCGAGACUGCCGGUGACGAACCGGAGGAAGGUGGGGAUGACGUCAAGUCCUCAUGGCCCUUAUGGGUAGGGCUUCACACGUCAUACAAUGGUCGGUACAGAGGGUCGCCAAGCCGCGAGGUGGAGCCAAUCCCAGAAAGCCGAUCGUAGUCCGGAUUGCAGGCUGCAACUCGCCUGCAUGAAGUCGGAAUCGCUAGUAAUCGUGGAUCAGCAUGUCACGGUGAAUACGUUCCCGGGUCUUGUACACACCGCCCGUCACACCAUGGGAGCGGGUUCCGCCAGAAGUAGGUAGCCUAACCGCAAGGAGGGCGCUUACCACGGCGGGGUUCGUGACUGGGGUGAAGUCGUAACAAGGUAGCCGUAGGGGAACCUGCGGCUG
rnacentral:rRNA from 1 species